AGUGAACGCUGGCGGUAGGCCUAACACAUGCAAGUCGAACGAAAGCACAGUAAGAGUGUGCUCUUACGGGUGGCGGGUGGCGGACGGGUGAGGCAUACAUCGGAAUCUACUUUUUCGGGGGGGAUAACGGAGGGAAACUGACGCUAAUACCGCAUACGACCUACGGGUGGAAGCAGGGGUGCUUCGGAGCUUUCGCGAUUGAAUGAGCCGAUGUCGCAUUAGCUAGUUGGCGGGGUAACGGCCCACCAAGGCGACGAUCCGUAGCCGACCUGAGAGGAUGAUCGGCCACACUGGAACUGGGACACGGUCCAGACUCCUACGGGAGGCAGCAGUAGGGAAUAUUGCACAAUGGGCGAAAGCCUGACCCAGCAACACCGCGUGGGUGAAGAAGGUCUUCGGGUCGUAAAGCCCUGUUGUUGGGAAAGAAAAGCAGUAUGUUUAACUCCGGCCGUCCUGACGGUACCUAAACAAUAAGCAACGGCUAACUUCGUG
rnacentral:rRNA from 1 species